rnacentral:tRNA from 1 species
GGUUGUGGCUCAGUGGCAGAGUGCUUGCCUAGCAUGUGUGUGGCACUGGGUUCGAUCUUCAGCACCA